CCUACGGGAGGCAGCAGUCGAGAAUCAUUCACAAUGGGGGAAACCCUGAUGGUGCGACGCCGCGUGGGGGAAUGAAGGUCUUCGGAUUGUAAACCCCUUUCGUGUGGGAGCAAACUAAAAAGAUAGUACCACAAGAGGAAGAGCCGGCUAACUCUGUGCCAGCAGCCGCGGUAAUACAGAGGCCUCAAGAGUUGUUCGGAAUCACUGGGCGUAAAGCGUGCGUAGGCUGUUUGAUAUGUCGUGUGUGAAAGGCGCGGGCUCAACCCGCGGACGGCACAUGAUACUGCGAGACUAGAGCAAUGUAGCGGGAGGCGGAAUGUUCGGUGUAGCAGUGAAAUGCGUAGAGAUCG
rnacentral:rRNA from 1 species